rnacentral:rRNA from 1 species
AUUGAACGCUGGCGGCAUGCUUUACACAUGCAAGUCGGACGGCAGCACAGAGAAGCUUGCUUCUUGGGUGGCGAGUGGCGAACGGGUGAGUAAUAUAUCGGAACGUACCGAGUAAUGGAGGAUAACUAAUCGAAAGAUUAGCUAAUACCGCAUAUUCUCUGAGGAGGAAAGCAGGGGACCUUCGGGCCUUGCGUUAUUCGAGCGGCCGAUAUCUGAUUAGCUAGUUGGUGGGGUAAAGGCCUACCAAGGCGACGAUCAGUAGCGGGUCUGAGAGGAUGAUCCGCCACACUGGGACUGAGACACGGCCCAGACUCCUACGGGAGGCAGCAGUGGGGAAUUUUGGACAAUGGGCGAAAGCCUGAUCCAGCCAUGCCGCGUGUGUGAAGAAGGCCUUCGGGUUGUAAAGGACUUUUGUCAGGGAAGAAAAGGCUGUUGCUAAUAUCAAGAGCUGAUGACGGUACCUGAAGAAUAAGCACCGGCUAACUACGUG